ensembl:lncRNA
CAGCUCUCCAAUUAGCCAUGGAGUCGACCAAUCAGCUGCUUGAGGGAUUUCAGGAAGCCAUUUCCUGAAAUAAACACAUGCAAAUACACAAACUAGAGAGAAGAGAGAAGAGAGAGGGGUGAGGUAUGGUGUGAGAGAAGAGAGAGGGGUGAGGUAUGGUGUGAGAGAAGAGAGAAGAGAGAGGGUGAGGUAUGGUGUGAGAGCAGAGAGAAGAGAGAGGGGUGAGGUAUGGUGUGAUAGCAGAGAGAAGAGAGAGGGGUGAGGCAUUGUGUGAGAGCAGAGAGAGGGGUGAGGUAUGGUGUGAGAGCAGAGAGAGGGGUGAGGUAUGGUGUGAGAGCAGAGAGAAGAGAGAGGGGUGAGGUAUUGUGUGAGAGCAGAGAGCAGAGAGAGGGGUGAGGUGUGGUUUGAGAGCAGAGAGAGGGGUGAGGUAUGGUGUGAGAGCAGAGAGAGGGGUGAGGUAUGGUGUGAGAGCAGAGAGAGGGGUGAGGUAUGGUGUGAGAACAGAGAGAAGAGUGAGGGGUGAGGUAUUGUGUGAGAGCAGAGAGAAGAGAGAGGGGUGAGGUAUUGUGUGAGAGCAGAGAGAGGGGUGAGGUAUGGUGUGAGAGCAGAGAGAAGAGAGAGGUGGGGUAUGGUGUGAGAGCAGAGAGAGGGGUGAGGGGUGAGGUAUGGUGUGAGAGCAGAGAGAAGAGAGAGGUAUGGUGUGAGAGCAGAGAGAAGAGAGAGGGGGUGAGGUAUGGUGUGAUAGCAGAGAGAAGAGAGAGGGGUGAGGCAUGGUGUGAGAGCAGAGAGAGGGGUGAGGUAUGGUGUGAGAGCAGAGAGAAGAGAGAGGGGUGAGGUAUGGUGUGAUAGCAGAGAGAAGAGAGAGGGGUGAGGCAUUGUGUGAGAGCAGAGAGAGGGUUGAGGUAUGGUAUGAGAGCAGAGAGAAGAGAGAGGGGUGAGGUAUUGUGUGAGAGCAGAGAGAGGGGUGAGGUAUGGUGUGAGAGCAGAGAGAGGGGUGAGA